UACGUAGGGUGCGAGCGUUAAUCGGAAUUACUGGGCGUAAAGCGUGCGCAGGCGGUUCUGAAAGUCAGCUGUGAAAGCCCCGGGCUUAACCUGGGAACUGCGGUUGAAACUACAGGACUAGAAUCUGGCAGAGGGGGGUGGAAUUCCACGUGUAGCGGUGAAAUGCGUAGAUAUCUGGAGGAAUACCGGUGGCGAAGGCGGCAUCCUGGACCGACAUUGACGCUGAGGAGCGAAAGCUAGGGGAGCAAACGGG
rnacentral:rRNA from 1 species